CCUGCAAGUGAUGACAAGAUAGACAGGGACUCGGCACUCUUUACAGAGAAUGAUGACUUGGUCUAUGGGAAUCUAUCUGAUGCACA
rnacentral:snoRNA from 1 species